GACACAAGAAAUUGUUGAAUCGUUAUUCACCAAAUUGUCUUAGAUUCAAAAUACAUUUAAAUAUUUCCGCACACUAUUUCCAUGUGAAUGCAAUCAUUUCUCAUCCAACUCUUAGCCUUACUAUGUCAACAACUGUUUUAUCUGCCUCACUUAAAUUUAAGGAGGAGCAUCUGAGAGAAAGUUGAUAUUUACUGCUGUGAAAGAGCAACCGCAAGCAAGAGCAAGCAGUGGUCAUUUAUCAGCAUGAAACUGACAUG